rnacentral:rRNA from 1 species
AUUGAACGCUGGCGGCAGGCCUAACACAUGCAAUUCGAACGAGUGGCGGACGGGUGAGUAAUGUCUGGGAAACUGCCUGAUGGAGGGGGAUAACUACUGGAAACGGUAGCUAAUACCGCAUACCAUCGGAUGUGCCCAGAUGGGAUUAGCUAGUAGGUGGGGUAAAGGCUCACCUAGGCGACGAUCCCUAGCUGGUCUGAGAGGAUGGCCAGGCAAACUGGAACGGAGACACGGUCCAGACUCCUACGGGAGGCAGCAGGGGGGAAGAUUGCACAAUGGGGGCAAGCAUGAUGCAGCCAUGCCGCGUGUAUGAAGAAGGCCUUCGGGUUGUAAAGUACUUUCAGCGGGGAGGCGUUACCCGCAGAAGAAGCACCGGCUAACUCCGUGCCAGCAGCCGCGGUAAUUC